rnacentral:rRNA from 1 species
UGCCGGACCUGACUGCUAUCGGAUUGAUACUAAGUCAUGCGAGUCAUUGUAGCAAUACAAGGCAUUCGGCUCAGUAACGCGUAGUCAACCUAAGCUAUGGACGGGAAUAACCUCGGGAAACUGAGAAUAAUGCCCGAAAAAACAUUAUGCCUGGAAUGGUUUAUGUUCCAAAUGAUUUAUCGCCGUAGGAUGGGACUGCGGCCUAUCAGUUUGUUGGUGAGGUAAUGGCCCACCAAGACUAUUACAGGUACGGGCUCUGAGAGGAGUAGCCCGGAGAUGGGUACUGAGACACGGACCCAGGCCCUAUGGGGCGCAGCAGGCGAGAAAACUUUGCAAUGUGCGAAAGCACGACAAGGUUAAUCCGAGUGGUUUCUGCUAGAGAAACCUUUUGUCAGUCCUAGAAACACUGAUGAAUAAGGGGUGGGCAAGUUCUGGUGUCAGCA